UACAGAGGUGGCAAGCGUUGUUCGGAAUUACUGGGCGUAAAGGGCGCGUAGGCGGCCUACUAAGUCAGACGUGAAAUCCCCCGGCUUAACCUGGGAACUGCGUCUGAUACUGGAAGGCUUGAGGAUGGGAGAGGGAUGUAGAAUUCCAGGUGUAGCGGUGAAAUGCGUAGAUAUCGAGAGGAACACCUGCGGCGAAGGCGGGUUGCUGGGCUGACACUGACGCUGAAGCGCGAAAGCUAGGGGAGCGAACGGG
rnacentral:rRNA from 1 species